AAGCUCAGGCAGAACAUCAGAACAAGUCUGGAUUUUCCUUCCAGGCACAAGCAGAUGGUGAUCAAUCCACACAUUCCAUAAUCCCAGCAAUAAAAGAUUUUCAAACAGUUAUCAAAAUGGACCAGAGGUUGUUACUGAGAGUCAUCAUCGCAGAAGAUGAUAUAACAUUGUCAUCACCCACCACAACAUUAGACACUGAGGGCAGCACAGCAGACACUGAGAUCCUGUCGCCUGUAGGAGCAUCACCAUCGCUAAGACAACAGUGGCCAGAGUUCUUUGACAUACCCAAAUAGCACAUAUCAUAGAGAGACAGGUGUUUGCUGAGUUUAAUAGAAUCGCCAGUAAGAAUCUUGAGGGAGACUUCUUUGAGGCUCUGGACCAGUAUGCCCCACGUUUCAUUGAACUUUUCAAAACAAGAAGGGAACUGUUGGCCAGAAACUCAGGGAGCUGAUGCAGCACAUGAGCUGGAUGACACCAGACGUCACAGUACUUCGCUCUGUUGUCCUCAAAGGCAUUCCCAUUUUACUCGGUGAUGACUCCAGUGAAUUCUACAAGACUUGCUCUGAUACAGAGAGAGACGAGGCCCUAGAAUGCAUCACUGUUGGUGUGCUGACAGUUGUCAGUGAAGAUAGUCCUCACGAGGGUCAAAGCUCAGUGGACCUCCAGCCCAUCUCCACUGCCAUCAUUCUGGAGGGAGGUGUUGUCAUGGAUCAUAUUAAAAACUUGCCUCAGGCAGUUUGUCCUUUGUUUGGUCUUACAUAUGCAUUGCAUUUGGAUUACCCAAAAUGCACGGCAAAUACACUCAACUUCAUUCAGACUGUGAUGCUUGGACUGGUAAAGAAAAACCUCCCACCAAAACUGUUAACUCU
rnacentral:lncRNA from 1 species